rnacentral:lncRNA from 1 species
AAGCUCACCCCGAAAGUACAGAGAGGCUGAUUCAGGAUCGAUGCUUAACCACUGUGGGACGGAAGCUAGUGAUGAAUGACCUCAGCCUCUCCAGCUCUUGACAGUAAAUCACGCACAGUGAAAGACCACGGAAGACAGAUGCUAAUGAGAUUUAAGAAAAAUAUCUCUCGAUUUUCAGCAUAAAGCCAAAGGUACCAGUAUUCUAUCAGAAGAUGUAACAUAGCACAAAAUCCCAGCAACAGCUCAACCCUGGGGCCGGCUCAAAGAGGUGCCACUGAG